GCCCAGGUGGUGAAACUGGUAUACACGUAUGCUUCAGGAGCAUAUGAGAGCAAUCUCGUGCGGGUUCGACUCCCGCCCUGGGCA
rnacentral:tRNA from 1 species